rnacentral:rRNA from 1 species
GAUGAACGCUGGCGGCGUGCCUAAUACAUGCAAGUCGAGCGAACAGACGAGGAGCUUGCUCCUCUGACGUUAGCGGCGGACGGGUGAGUAACACGUGGAUAACCUACCUAUAAGACUGGGAUAACUUCGGGAAACCGGAGCUAAUACCGGAUAACAUGUUGAACCGCAUGGUUCAACAGUGAAAGACGGUUUUGCUGUCACUUAUAGAUGGAUCCGCGCCGCAUUAGCUAGUUGGUAAGGUAACGGCUUACCAAGGCAACGAUGCGUAGCCGACCUGAGAGGGUGAUCGGCCACACUAGAACUGAGACACGGUCCAGACUCCUACGGGAGGCAGCAGUAGGGAAUCUUCCGCAAUGGGCGAAAGCCUGACGGAGCAACGCCGCGUGAGUGAAGAAGGUCUUCGGAUCGUAAAACUCUGUUAUUAGGGAAGAACAAAUGUGUAAGUAACUAUGCACGUCUUGACGGUACCUAAUCAGAAAGCCACGGCUAACUACGUG